UGCAACAACAUCCCAAAAAAAACCAAUAGGCAAGUCAUAUGGUAGAUCUCAUAUAACAAUGACUUGCCUUUUGAUAUUAACCCAGUUGCUCUAAGAAUUAUAUGCUUUUAUCUAUACUUUAUAGCCAAGCCCUACUAUUACUACUCAUCCAACAAUGCAUCAAACAGUAAUUUUCCACCCCCACCCAAAAAAGGAAAAAAAAACACUAUCCCUCGCAUGCAAAGUCUCAAGCAUGCACCUUAAAAAUCAAAAAACAUUGCGAUAUUCAUAAAAGGUCUGCAUGCCUCAAAUUGCCUACUCUACUGUGAUAUUAAAUAAUCUGUAUCAACAUGGUUGAACCAGAUGUUGUGCCCUGAAUCCAGUUACAACCCUGUCAUCAAUAUUAAACCUAAAAAAGAUAGAUGUGCCAAAUCAUCAAUUUUGCCGCAUAGCUCUGGACUUGCCAGCUGAAUCAUAAUUGAGCAUACAGAAAUCCCAUCAAUCAAAAGUAGCCCAAAGCCCCAAACCACUGAGAUCAGAUCCUGCAUUUUUCAAGCCUCUUUCCUAGUUAUCCUGAAGCAAUUAAUGCCCAAGGCUGUUGUGAUUUCAUGAAUGACUGACGUGGCAAAGUGUAAAUAGAGUCCCACUGUGAAUACACAAUAGCCAAGAAGAACCCAGAAUUCAUCAACCAAAGGAACCCCAUCAUUCAGUUUGGCAGUGAGUGCAUUUGCAAUGGCCAAUGGUAGAUAUAAUAAAGACAUGCACAUGUUAGUUUUCAAUCCCUUUGGUUCAUCACACAAGUGGGCCAGAAUCAUCCUUCCCACAAGAAACCCAAAUGCAAGUCCAGUCCCCAGUAUAACUAAAUGAGGAUAAUUUCCCAUUAUAUCAGAUAGAGACAGAUAAUCCCACACCAAGACGCC
rnacentral:misc_RNA from 1 species